rnacentral:rRNA from 1 species
AUUGAACGCUGGCGGCAUGCUUUACACAUGCAAGUCGAACGGUAACAGGCCGCAAGGUGCUGACGAGUGGCGAACGGGUGAGUAAUGCAUCGGAACGUGCCCAGUCGUGGGGGAUAACUGCUCGAAAGAGCAGCUAAUACCGCAUACGAUCUAUGGAUGAAAGCGGGGGACCGUAAGGCCUCGCGCGAUUGGAGCGGCCGAUGUCAGAUUAGGUAGUUGGUGGGGUAAAGGCUCACCAGGCCAACGAUCUGUAGCUGGUCUGAGAGGACGACCAGCCACACUGGGACUGAGACACGGCCCAGACUCCUACGUGAGGCAGCAGUGGGGAAUUUUGGACAAUGGGGGCAACCCUGAUCCAUCAGUGCCACGUGCAGGAAGAAGGCCUUCGGGUUGUAAACUGCUUUUGUACGGAACGAAACGGUCUGGGUUAAUACCCUGGGCUAAUGACGGUACCGUAAGAAUAAGCACCGGCUAACUACGUGCCAGCCGCCGCGGUAAUAC